rnacentral:rRNA from 1 species
AUUGAACGCUGGCGGCAUGCUUUACACAUGCAAGUCGAACGGCAGCACGGGCUUCGGCCUGGUGGCGAGUGGCGAACGGGUGAGUAAUGCAUCGGAACGUACCGUGUAAUGGGGGAUAACGUAGCGAAAGUUACGCUAAUACCGCAUACGCCCUGAGGGGGAAAGCGGGGGAUCGUAAGACCUCGCGUUAUACGAGCGGCCGAUGUCGGAUUAGCUAGUUGGUGGGGUAAAGGCCUACCAAGGCGACGAUCCGUAGCGGGUCUGAGAGGAUGAUCCGCCACACUGGGACUGAGACACGGCCCAGACUCCUACGGGAGGCAGCAGUGGGGAAUUUUGGGACAAUGGGCGCAAGCCUGAUCCAGCCAUGCCGCGUGAGUGAAGAAGGCCUCGG